rnacentral:misc_RNA from 1 species
AUGGACCGAUCCGGGACGUACGAAAAGGGAACGAGGACGAAAGAGGAGGAGGCGCGCGCAGCGGUUAGGUCUCUUUCACUUCACACACCGACACCGGCCGUCGCUUCAUUCCUGAAGGCCUUCCCAGCGACCUGACGCUGACCAUCGCCGGCUGCCACGAUCGGCCGCUUGAGCACUCCGUGUGUUCUCCUUUCGGCACACUCGCCGAUGUGUUUCGAGUGCGCGCGACCAGUUUGCCAGCGUCGUGCCUCCCGCGCGAGGUCUCAGAAACGGUGAAACGAAGGUGCUCCUCGCGUGGAAGGGAUUUUUCGUGGGCAAGAGGGAUCGAUCGAUUUAUCGGCGCGCCGAUAAUUCGCAAGGCCAAGGUCUUCAUGAAGUUCUGGAGUACGUCGGCGCGCUGGGCCGCGCGUUACGAAGGAUUUGCGGACUCGCGGAGCAUGUCGCUCCGAUUUUAAAUACGCCUUAUCUGUCCGGUUGGGUCGUGUGCCGGAUCACAAAAUUCACUGUUUUACAUCCGUACGAUAUUCUGUAAGAAAGCCCAAUGCCUGUGGUGAAUAAAGAAAAACGAUGACAGGAUGUCGAGUGUGGAGGAUAAUUUUACUCGUUGCUAUAUGGGAAACGACUGCGAGCGUAAACACAAACGUCGCACAAAUUUAUUCAAAUAAUGGAGACAAGAAAUCGUUUGAGCCAGACAAAUAUAUUUAUUCCUGGACAGGGCCAAAUGCAUUGGCCAGAUCGGCCUUGGUGGAGAGACAGGAAAGGCUGCAAUAUAAUUGCGAGCUCGAAAGUGGAGGGGUCGAUAUCGCCGAGCUGAAUCCAGAAUCAUUCAGAAAUAUCCUCGUGGAUGAUUUGCAUGAAUUGCUCUAUUGCUAUGUACCAAAGGUGGCUUGCACAAAUUGGAAGCGCGUACUAAUGAUCGCGACCGGGAAAUGGCCCGGUAAUGAUCCCUUAGAAAUACCAGCCGAUCAAGCUCAUUCCCCUGGUACUUUUCAGCGAUUGAGCAAUUACACUUUGCCCGAGAUAGAGAAGAAAUUGGCGACGUAUGAUAAGUUGAUUGUCGUGAGACAUCCUUUGGAAAGGCUUCUGUCGGCCUAUCGAAAUAAAUUAGAGACCAAACAUGAGAAAAGUGCAAGAUAUUUUCAGACUCGCUUUGGCAAAAAAAUAGUUAAGAAAUACAGACCGAAUGCAACCGAGGAGUCUUUAAGGAACGGUGACGACGUAACGUUUCGCGAGUUUGUCAAUUUCGUCACCGACGACACCGAGAAUGGAACUCGGAACGAACAUUGGAGGCCGAUAUAUGAUUUGUGCCAGCCGUGCGUAGUCAAUUACAAUCUCGUAAGCAAGUAUGAGAGUUUGGUCGAGGAUGCUACAGAAAUUCUCGAGAGAAUAGGUGUGACAUCUGUGAAUUUUCCAGGUAGACCACCAAGCAGCGAACCGACAUCGAGAAAAUUGGAUAGAGUGCUGUUCAUAUCGGCCAAAAAAUGCCACAAGCAGCGGGACACGAGACACAGAAUCUUCUGAUGACAUAUUUGAUCCUUAUUCUUUUAUUAAUUUCGCUUUGGGUAUUAUACUCGGGGUUGUUUUUUUAAACACAGCAAACAUUCCUCACCAUGGGCUGAACAACAGAGAAAACACGUGUCGAAAGGCGGAUGCAUUCAGGAGAUCCAAGAUCAUCGUGGACACCUUGUUUGGAGCUCACCAGUUCUCAUUUAUAAUAUUUUUUACAAUCUAAGCGCCUGGAGACAUGUUCAACACAAAUCAUUUUUGACUGUUUAGUGACCGAUUUCCGCGAUGAAAUUUAUUCAAAAAUAUAUUUGCCGGGUAAUAGAAGGAAUUGUAAAAGUUUAUUCCUUUAUAGAUCGUGUCUUGCUUCAGUUUCUUGCUACAUCUUCGUGGAAAUCGGCUAUUGAUAAUUACAUUAAUUAUAUCUCCCUAGAUAAUUAGCUAUGAAUAUAUUAUCUGAAGUUAAACAAUAUUUAUUAUCUUAUAAUACUCUUACAAGAGUAUCGUCAGCUAUAAUUCGCACCGUCAUUGAAUUGUGUUCAUCGAAAUAAAUAUAUCAGUUUGUUUUAUGUGCGUUCGUGUAUAUCGAAUGCGGUCUCGUUUACCUUAUUCGAUUACAAUAUGAAAAACGUAAAUUUUCUUUAAAUUUGUUUAUAACAGAUAUUUCAGAAAUUUGUUUAUUUUAUUUAUUAACAUUUUCAGUACACGACAUUAUUAGAAACGAUUAAAUAUAUUUUCUCGUUCGGAAUGCCGGCUACAAUUUA